UCGAGGGGUAGCGGAAGUAGCUUGCUACUAGACGACGACCGGCGCACGGGUGAGUAACGCGUAUGUAAUCUGCCUUGUACAGAGGGAUAGCCCAGAGAAAUUUGGAUUAAUACCUCAUAGUAUUACUGAGUCGCAUGAUUUGGUAAUUAAAGCUCCGGCGGUACAAGAUGAACAUGCGUGACAUUAGCUAGUUGGUAAGGUAACGGCUUACCAAGGCUACGAUGUCUAGGGGUUCUGAGAGGAUGAUCCCCCACACUGGUACUGAGACACGGACCAGACUCCUACGGGAGGCAGCAGUGAGGAAUAUUGGUCAAUGGACGCAAGUCUGAACCAGCCAUCCCGCGUGAAGGAUGACUGCCCUAUGGGUUGUAAACUUCUUUUAUAUGCAAAUAAACCUACUUUCGUGAAAGUAGCUGAAGGUAGCAUAUGAAUAAACACCGGCUAACUCCGUGCCAGCAGCCGCGGUAAUACGGAGGGUGUAAGCGUNAUCCGGAUUUAU
rnacentral:rRNA from 1 species